AUUAAUAUUUUUACACCAAAGUUAACUGCAUUGUUUAUUAAUGUAAAUUGAUUUCGGCAUAUAUUUCUAGAUUGUAUCUGCCAUGUGUCUCAUCCUCAACCAGAAAAAUGAUAAAAGGUUUCGAGAACAAGUAUACUGUCUCCCCCCUGAUAUUGUGAACAUGGCCAUUUCGAAGCACCCAAACGGGGAAUUCAUAUCACCUAAAACCAAUAAAGAAUUCAGGGUGGAAGACUACCCAAUGUUUAUUCCCUUCAUAGAU